GCCCAUUUGAAUGGAAAAGAAAUUAGGGUGAAUAAUUUAAUUUAUUUUAUGUCGUGACUGGGCCCAUUUGAAUGGGUCGCCUACGUAUCCGAUUCGUGGGUGAAUUCAAGUCGGAAUCAAGUCACACGUAGUUCUAAGUAAUAAAAACUUUUUUUCGGUGAACCGGUUCGUUUAAUAUUGUGAUUGCACCCACGGGUUGAGUUGCCCAUAUCUAUGUCCGCGUUCCGACUCGAUCAAGUCAACCUAGUUCCUGGGUAAAGGAAUUUUGAGUCAGGUCAACAUGGUCCCCCACCUGGAUGAGACUCUAACACGAUGACUACAAGUUCAAGAAAUACAUUGAGAUGAUUGAUGAAUUGUGGUUUUAACCCCGAAGGCGUCCUAAGAUUUGGAAUUUUUGGGGAUCCUCACGAGAUUGAUUAUUUGUCUAAUCCUAAUUUAUAUCAUUCCUAUGAUGGAGAAAGCAAGGGUAAUGGAGGACAAAGUCGACUGAAA
rnacentral:lncRNA from 1 species